rnacentral:rRNA from 1 species
AGUGAACGCUGGCGGUAGGCCUAACACAUGCCAGUCGAACGGCAGCACAGUAAGAGCUUGCUCUUACGGGUGGCGAGUGGCGGACGGGUGAGGAAUACAUCGGAAUCUACUUUUUCGUGGGGGAUAACGUAGGGAAACUUACUCUAAUACCGCAUACGACCUACGGGUGAAAGCAGGGGAUCUUCGGACCUUGCGCGAUUGAAUGAGCCGAUGUCGGAUUAGCUAGUUGGCGGGGUAAAGGCCCACCAAGGCGACGAUCCGUAGCUGGUCUGAGAGGAUGGUCGGCCACAUUGGAACUGAGACACGGUCCAGACUCCUACGGGAGGCAGCAGUGGGGAAUAUUGGACAAUGGGCGCAAGCCUGAUCCAGCCAGACCGCGUGGGUGAAGAAGGCCUUCGGGUUGUAAAGCCCUUUUGUUGGGAAAGAAAAGCAGCAGGUUAAUACCCCGCUGUUCUGGCGGUACCCAAAGAAUAAGCACCGGCUAACUUCGUG